GCCAGGUUCAGAUAAGUUGAAGUUUUAACAUCAGCCGUUAUUCAAAUUCAUUCCAUCCAAAACGGGGUGAAAAGCUUUCUGAGUCGAUGGGAUCAUUCAUUGAGUUAUUUGUGUUCCAUUCUUCUUUAUCUAAACUGGAGCUGGGAUCACGUCAUAAUACAACUCCUAGUCGAUUGUUCUGGCUUUGUUGGAGAGAAUAAUGUUGGCUCUUCGGUAGUG